CGAAAGCCUGACGGAGCAACGCCGCGUGAGGGAUGAAGGCCUCUGGGCUGUAAACCUCUUUUCUCAAGGAAGAAGAUCUGACGGUACUUGAGGAAUAAGCCACGGCUAAUUCCGUGCCAGCAGCCGCGGUAAUACGGGAGUGGCAAGCGUUAUCCGGAAUUAUUGGGCGUAAAGCGUCCGCAGGCGGUCUUGUAAGUCUGUCGUUAAAGCGUGGAGCUUAACUCCAUUUAAGCGAUGGAAACUGCAAGACUAGAGUGUGGUAGGGGCAGAGGGAAUUCCCGGUGUAGCGGUGAAAUGCGUAGGUAUCGGGAAGAACACCAGUGGCGAAGGCGCUCUGCUGGGCCAUAACUGACGCUCAUGGACGAAAGCCAGGGGAGCG
rnacentral:rRNA from 1 species